AUUGAACGCUGGCGGCAGGCCUAACACAUGCAAGUCGAGCGAGCGGCGGACGGGUGAGUAAUGUCUGGGAAACUGCCUGAUGGAGGGGGAUAACUACUGGAAACGGUAGCUAAUACCGCAUACCCUCAGAUGUGCCCAGAUGGGAUUAGCUAGUAGGGGGGGUAACGGCUCACCUAGGCGACGAUCCCUAGCUGGUCUGAGAGGAUGACCAGCCAAACUGGAACUGAGAAACGGUCCAGACUCCUACGGGAGGCAGCAGUGGGGAAUAGUGCACAAGGGGCGCAAGCCUGAUGCAGCCAUGCCGCGUGUGUGAAGAAGGCCUUCGGGUUGUAAAGCACUUGCAGCGGGGAGGAGUUACCCGCAGAAGAAGAACCGGAGAAGUCUGUGCCAGAAGCCGAGGUAAUAC
rnacentral:rRNA from 1 species